rnacentral:tRNA from 3 species
GGUCCGGUGGCAGAGUGGCUAUGUAGCGGACUGCAAAUCCGCGUACGGGGGUUCGAUUCCCUCCCGGACCUCCA